rnacentral:rRNA from 1 species
CCCUUAGAUGUCCUGGGCCGCACGCGCGCUACACUGACGGAGCCAGCGAGCUUACCCCUUUGCCGAAAGGCAUGGGAAAUCUUUUGAAUCUCCGUCGUGCUGGGGAUAGAUCAUUGCAAUUAUUGAUCUUGAACGAGGAAUUCCUAGUAAGCGCAAGUCAUCAACUUGCGUUGAUUACGUCCCUGCCCUUUGUACACACCGCCCGUCGCUCCUACCGAUUGAAUGUGUUGGUGAGGAGCUCGGAUUGGCAGCAGUUGGUGGUUCGCCACCGGCUAUUGCUGAGAAGUCCUCCAAACCGCCCCAUUUAGAGGAAGGAGAAGUCGUAACA